rnacentral:lncRNA from 1 species
GACCCCCCCGGUGCCCCCCCCAGAGCCCCCAGGACCUGGAGCUGGUGGAGGGGGCGCAGGAGAAUUUCCGGCAGCUGGUGCUGGAGCUGCUGGGGGACAGCCGGCGGCGGGCGGCCUACCUGGAGGACGCGGCGGGCCGUGACUACGGGGAGCCGUUCCUGCAGGCGCUGGAGAGCCUCUUCCACGAGUUCCUGCUGCGCCUCGAGAGCGCCCUGCCCCCCCCCGACGUCACCCAGUUACAGGAAGUGGUGUGGGGCCAAUCAGGGCCCGGGCCCCGCCCCCGGGAGCUGCCAAUCCUGCGCCGGUACCUGGCGGACGUGGGCCACGCCCACCUCGAAUUCCUCGGUGACGUCAGCAGCGACUCGGAGGCAGAGGAGGUGCCACGCCGGAAGGUUAAUUAGGGGGGGGGAGGGUUUAAUUAGAAUGGGGAGGGGUUAAUUAGGGGGCGUGGCUAAUUAACGGCCCCUCCCCCUUGCUGUUCCCGCCUCCAGGCCCGCCUCCUGCCCCUCCCCCGCCGUGCUGCGCUGCUGGCAGGUCGGUGCUAACGAUCCG